GACGAACGCUGGCGGCGUGCUUAACACAUGCAAGUCGAACGGAAAGGCCCUGCUUUUGUGGGGUGCUCGAGUGGCGAACGGGUGAGUAACACGUGAGUAACCUGCCCUUGACUUUGGGAUAACUUCAGGAAACUGGGGCUAAUACCGGAUAGGAGCUCCUGCUGCAUGGUGGGGGUUGGAAAGUUUCGGCGGUUGGGGAUGGACUCGCGGCUUAUCAGCUUGUUGGUGGGGUAGUGGCUUACCAAGGCUUUGACGGGUAGCCGGCCUGAGAGGGUUACCGGCGACAUUGGGACUGAGAUACGGCCCAGACUCCUACGGGAGGCAGCAGUGGGGAAUAUUGCACAGUGGGCGGAAGCCUGAUGCAGCAACGCCGCGUGCGGGAUGACGGCCUUCGGGUUGUAAACCGCUUUCGCCUGUGACGAAGCGUGAGUGACGGUAAUGAGUAAAGAAGCACCGGCUAACUACGUG
rnacentral:rRNA from 1 species